rnacentral:rRNA from 1 species
GACGAACACUGGCGGCGUGCUUAACACAUGCGAGUCGAACGGAAAGGCCCUGCUUUUGUGGGGUGCUCGAGUGGCGAACGGGUGAGUAACACGUGAGUAACCUGCCCUUGACUUUGGGAUAACUUCAGGAAACUGGGGCUAAUACCGGAUAGGAGCUCCUGCUGCAUGGUGGGGGUUGGAAAGUUUCGGCGGUUGGGGAUGGACUCGCGGCUUAUCAGCUUGUUGGUGGGGUAGUGGCUUACCAAGGCUUUGACGGGUAGCCGGCCUGAGAGGGUGACCGGCCACAUUGGGACUGAGAUACGGCCCAGACUCCUACGGGAGGCAGCAGUGGGGAAUAUUGCACAAUGGGCGGAAGCCUGAUGCAGCAACGCCGCGUGCGGGAUGACGGCCUUCGGGUUGUAAACCGCUUUCGCCUGUGACGAAGCGUGAGUGACGGUAAUGGGUAAAGAAGCACCGGCUAACUACGUG